rnacentral:rRNA from 1 species
GGUUCGAUUCUGGCUCAGAUUGAACGCUGGCGGGAUGCUUUUACACAUGCAAGUCGAACGGCAGCACGGACUUCGGUCUGGUGGCGAGUGGCGAACGGGUGAGUAAUGUAUCGGAACGUGCCUAGUAGCGGGGGAUAACUACGCGAAGCGUAGCUAAUACCGCAUACGCCCUUCCAGGAAAAGCAGGGGACCUUCGGGCCUCGCACUAUUAGAAGCGGCCCGAUAUCGGAUUUGGCUAGUUGGUGGGGUAACGGCUCACCAAGGCGACGUCGUAGCUGGUUUGAGAGAGCGACCAGCCACACUGGGACUGAGACGGCGAACUCCUACGAGGCAGCAGUGGGGAAUUUUGGACAAUGGGGAAACCCUGAUCAGCCAUCCCGCGUGUGCGAUGAAGGCCUUCGGGUUGUAAAGCACUUUUGGCAGGAAAAACGGCACGGGAUAAUACCCCGUGCAACUGACAGUACCUGCAGAAUAAGCACCGGCUGACGCUACGUGCCAGCAGCCCGCGGUAAUACGUAAGUGCAAGCGUUAAUCGGAAUUACUGGGCGUAAAGCGUACGCGGGCGGUUCGGAAAGAAGAUGUGAAAUCCCAGAGCUUAACUUUGGAACUGCAUUUUUAACUACCGAGCUAGAGUGUGUCAGAGGAGGUGGAAUUCCGCGUGUAGCAGUGAAAUGCGUAGAUAUGCGGAGGAACACCGAUGACGAAGGCAGCCUCCUGGGAUAACACUGACGCUCAUGCACGAAAGCGUGGGGAGCAAACAGGAUUAGAUACCCUGGUAGUCCACGCCCUAAACGAUGUCAACUAGCUGUUGGGGCCUUCCGGGCCUUGGUAACGCAACCCAACAUGACUGAGAUUGACCGCCUGGGAAAUACGGUCGCAAGAUUAAAACUCAAAGGAAUUGACGGGGACGCACAAGCGGUAGAUGAUGUGGAUUAAUUCGAUGCAACGCGAAAAACCUUACCUACCCUUGACAUGUCUGGAAUCCCGAAGAGAUUUGGGAGUGCUCGCAAAGAGAACCGGAACACAGGUGCUGCAUGGCUGUCGUCAGCUCGUGUCGUGAGAUGUUGGGUUAAGUCCCGCAACGAAGAGCGCAACCCCUUGUCAUUGGUUGCUACGAAAGGGCACUCUAAUGAGACUGCCGGUGACAAACCGGAGGGGAAGGUGGGGAUGACGUCAAGUCCUCAUGGCCCUUAUGGGUAGGGCUUCACACGUCAUACAAUGGUGGGGACAGAGGGUCGCCAACCCGCGAGGGCAAUCCCAGGGGCGAUCGUAGUCCGGAUCGCAGUCCACUGCAACUCGACUGCGUGAAGUCGGAAUCGCUAGUAAUCGCGGAUCAGCAUGUCGCGGUGAAUACGUUCCCGGGUCUUGCUGCACCGCCCGUCACACCAUGGGAGUGGGUUUUACCAGAAGUAGUUAGCCUAACCGUAAGGAGGCGAUUACCACGGUAAGUUCAUGACUGGGGUGAAGUCAGCAAGAGUAAA